AACGAACGCUGGCGGCAUGCCUAACACAUGCAAGUCGAACGAGACCUUCGGGUCUAGUGGCGCACGGGUGCGUAACGCGUGGGAACCUGCCCUUAGGUUCGGAAUAACUCCCCGAAAGGGGUGCUAAUACCGGAUAAUGUUUUCGGACCAAAGAUUUAUCGCCUUUGGAUGGGCCCGCGUUGGAUUAGCUAGUUGGUAGGGUAAAAGCCUACCAAGGCGACGAUCCAUAGCUGGUCUGAGAGGCUGAUCAGCCACACUGGGACUGAGACACGGCCCAGACUCCUACGGGAGGCAGCAGUGGGGAAUAUUGGACAAUGGGCGAAAGCCUGAUCCAGCAAUGCCGCGUGAGUGAUGAAGGCCUUAGGGUUGUAAAGCUCUUUUACCCGGGAUGAUAAUGACAGUACCGGGAGAAUAAGCUCCGGCUAACUCCGUG
rnacentral:rRNA from 1 species